rnacentral:rRNA from 1 species
CCCUUAGAUGUUCUGGGCUGCACGCGCGCUACACUGAUGCACUCAACGAGUUUACGACCUUGCCCGAUAGGGUUGGGUAAUCUUUUUAAAAUGCAUCGUGAUGGGGAUAGAUUAUUGCAAUUAUUAAUCUUCAACGAGGAAUUCCUAGUAAGCGCGAGUCAUCAGCUCGUGCUGAUUACGUCCCUGCCCUUUGUACACACCGCCCGUCGCUCCUACCGAUUGAGUGCUCAGGUGAAUAAUUCGGACUGCAGCAAUGUUUGGAUCCCGAACGUUGCAGCGGAAAGUUUAGUGAACCUUAGCACUUAGAGGAAGGAGAAGUCGUAACA